rnacentral:rRNA from 1 species
CACGUAGGCGGAUAGGUCAGUCAGAUGUGAAAGCCCGGAGCUUAACUCCGGAACUGCAUUUGAUACUACUUGUCUUGAGUAUGGUAGAGGGGGGUGGAAUUCCCGGUGUAGAGGUGAAAUUCGUAGAUAUCGGGAGGAACACCAGAGGCGAAGGCGACCCCCUGGGCCAUAACUGACGCUGAGGUGCGAAAGCGUGGGGAGCAAAACAG